UACGAGGGGGCAAGCGUUGUUCGGAAUUAUUGGGCGUAAAGGGUGCGUAGGCGGUUUGGUAAGUCUUAUGUGAAAUCUACAGGCUCAACUUGUAGUCUGCAUGAGAAACUGCCGGGCUUGAGUAUGGGAGAGGUGAGUGGAAUUCCUGGUGUAGCGGUGAAAUGCGUAGAUAUCAGGAGGAACACCUGUGGCGAAAGCGGCUCACUGGACCAUAACUGACGCUGAUGCACGAAAAGCUAGGGGAGCAAACAGG
rnacentral:rRNA from 1 species